AUUGAACGCUGGCGGCAGGCUUAACACAUGCAAGUCGAGCGGGGGAAGGUAGCUUGCUACCGGACCUAGCGGCGGACGGGUGAGUAAUGCUUAGGAAUCUGGCUAUUAGUGGGGGACAACAUCUCGAAAGGGAUGCUAAUACCGCAUACGUCCUACGGGAGAAAGCAGGGGAUCUUCGGACCUUGCGCUAAUAGAUGAGCCUAAGUCGGAUUAGCUAGUUGGUGGGGUAAAGGCCUACCAAGGCGGCGAUCUGUAGCGGGUCUGAGGGGAUGAUCCGCCACACUGGGACUGAGACACGGCCCAGACUCCUACGGGAGGCAGCAGUGGGGAAUAUUGGACAAUGGGGGGAACCCUGAUCCAGCCAUGCCGCGUGUGUGAAGAAGGCCUUAUGGUUGUAAAGCACUUUAAGCGAGGAGGAGGCUACUCUAGUUAAUACCUAGGGAUAGUGGACGUUACUCGCAGAAUAAGCACCGGCUAACUCUGUGCCAGCCGCCGCAGUAA
rnacentral:rRNA from 1 species